rnacentral:rRNA from 1 species
GACGAACGCUGGCGGCGUGCUUAACACAUGCAAGUCGAACGGAAAGGCCUCUUUCGGGGGGUACUCGAGUGGCGAACGGGUGAGUAACACGUGAGUAACCUGCCCUUGACUUUGGGAUAACUUCAGGAAACUGGGGCUAAUACCGGAUAGGAGCUCCUGCUGCAUGGUGGGGGUUGGAAAGUUUCGGCGGUUGGGGAUGGACUCGCGGCUUAUCAGCUUGCUGGUGGGGUAGUGGCUUACCAAGGCUUUGACGGGUAGCCGGCCUGAGAGGGUGACCGGCCACAUUGGGACUGAGAUACGGCCCAGACUCCUACGGGAGGCAGCAGUGGGGAAUAUUGCACAAUGGGUGGAAGCCUGAUGCAGCAACGCCGUGUGCGGGAUGACGGCCUUCGGGUUGUAAACCGCUUUCGCUCAUGACGAAGCUUUGUGUGACGGUAGUGGGUAAAGAAGCACCGGCUAACUACGUG